ACUCCUACGGGAGGCAGCAGUGGGGAAUAUUGCACAAUGGGCGCAAGCCUGAUGCAGCCAUGCCGCGUGUGUGAAGAAGGCCUUCGGGUUGUAAAGCACUUUCUAGUCGUGAGGAAGGCGGGUACGUUAAUAGCGUAUUCGUUUGACGUUAGCGAUAGAAGAAGCACCGGCUAACUCCGUGCCAGCAGCCGCGGUAAUACGGAGGGUGCGAGCGUUAAUCGGAAUUACUGGGCGUAAAGCGCAUGCAGGUGGUUUGUUAAGUCAGAUGUGAAAGCCCGGGGCUCAACCUCGGAAUAGCAUUUGAAACUGGCAGACUAGAGUACUGUAGAGGGGGUAGAAUUUCAGGUGUAGCGGUGAAAUGCGUAGAGAUCUGAAGGAAUACCGGUGGCGAAGGCGGCCCCCUGGACAGAGUACUGACACUCAGAUGCGAAAGCGUGGGAGCAAACAGGAUUAGAUACCCCUGGUAGGUGACAA
rnacentral:rRNA from 1 species